rnacentral:rRNA from 1 species
UAAUACGGAGGGUGCAAGCGUUAUUCGGAAUUAUUGGGCGUAAAGAGCGCGUAGGCGGUCUCUUAAGUCAGAUGUGAAAGCCCGGGGCUCAACCCCGGAAGGGCAUUUGAAACUAAGGGACUUGAGUAUGGGAGAGGGAAGUGGAAUUCCUGGUGUAGAGGUGAAAUUCGUAGAUAUCAGGAGGAACACCGGUGGCGAAGGCGACUUCCUGGACCAAUACUGACGCUGAGGCGCGAAGGCGUGGGGGGCAAACAGGAUUAGAUACCCUGGUAGUCCACGCAGUAAACGAUGAACACUAGGUGUAGCGGGUAUUUACCCCUGCUGUG